rnacentral:rRNA from 1 species
AGUGAACGCUGGCGGUAGGCCUAACACAUGCAAGUCGAACGGCAGCACCGUAAGAGCUUGCUCUUACGGGUGGCGAGUGGCGGACGGGUGAGGAAUACAUCGGAAUCUACUUUUUCGUGGGGGAUAACGUCGGGAAACUUACGCUAAUACCGCAUACGACCUACGGGUGAAAGCAGGGGAUCUUCGGACCUUGCCCGAUUGAAUGAGCCGAUGUCGGAUUAGCUAGUUGGCGAGGUAAAGGCCCACCAAGGCGACGAUCCGUAGCUGGUCUGAGAGGAGGAUAAGCCACACUGGAUCUGAACCACGUCACAGACGCCUACGGUAGGCGGCGCUGGGGAAUAUUAGACAAUGGACGCAAGCCUGAUCCAGCCAUACCGCGUGGGGUAAGAAAGCCUUGGGGUUGUAGAGCCCUUUUGUUGGGAAGGAAAAGCAGCGGGUUAAAACCCCGCUGUUCUGACGGUACCCAAAGAAUAAGCACCGGCUAACUUCGUG